rnacentral:lncRNA from 1 species
UUUCCUCUCGCCAAUCAAUCGUUUAGGCAUGACCUAGCAAUUAUUGAUGCCCCUGUGGAUUAUCUAGCUUUUUAAGAGGGAUCAAGCAUUUCCCAUUUUCUUUAAUAUCCAUCUGAGAGGCGCCAUAAAUUGCUGAAACUUGUCCUGCAUAGACAAGUGAAACAGUAUAUAUUUUGCCUAAGAGGAAUCUAAUAUUCUAAAAGAACCGCCUCCAUGAAUCCCGUGAACUGGCUGACCUCUCCUUUUCGGCUAAGACGAUCGUACCAGUAACCAUCAGUUUUCAGCAACCCGUUCAGACUAGAAGCCAAAAAAUGGGAAUUAGAACGAAUAUUGCAUAUGUCUUCGGAGGGUCGCAUACCUAACUUUACUUAUAAAUGGCUUAUAAAGAAACCUUCCCAACCUAAACGCUGAGACUUGACUGAUCGUGAAAGCCCAGUCAGAUGGCAGUAUGGUAUCUCUCAGCGAUCGCUUCCAACCGGGCACGACACUACGUUAGUAACGUCUAAUUCAAGCAGGUGCUGAAGAUAUCGAGCGAACGCGAUCCCGACAACCAAAGGAAGUUUUAAUUUAAGCACGUAGUGCAGUCGUCACUGUUACAGCUAGAGCUCGAACGAAGGGCAACUAGCGAGUA